GACGAACGCUGGCGGCGUGCUUAAUACAUGCAAGUCAACUUGACUUUAGAUAGCAAUAUCGAAAAGUAGGGUGGCGCACGGGUGCGUAACGCGUAGGUAAUCUGCCCUGAGGUCUGACAUAACCCGUCGAAAGGCGGGCUAACAUCAGAUGAUAUAUAAUCACGACAUCGUGGAAAUAUCAGAUCUUCGGAGCCUUGGGAUGAGCCUGCGUCUGAUUAGGUAGUUGGCGGAGUAAUAGCCCACCAAGCCUACGAUCAGUAGCUGGUCUGAGAGGAUGAUCAGCCACACUGGAACUGAGACACGGUCCAGACUCCUACGGGAGGCAGCAGUAAGGAAUAUUGCUCAAUGGGGGAAACCCUGAAGCAGCAACGCCGCGUGAAGGAUGAAAUACUUUAGUAUGUAAACUUCUGUAAGAUGGAAAAUAUUCUCCUCGGGAGAAGUUGAUUGUACCAUCAGAGUAAG
rnacentral:rRNA from 1 species